AAAAAUUUAGUUAAAAUAUAACAUUAACUUGUCAAGUUAAAAUCAUCUUUACAAAGAUAAUUUUUA
rnacentral:tRNA from 1 species